GGGUUGUGAGGUUAAGCGACUAAGCGUACACGGUGGAUGCCCUGGCAGUCAGAGGCGAUGAAGGACGUGCUAAUCUGCGAAAAGCGUCGGUAAGGUGAUAUGAACCGUUACAGCCGGCGAUGUCCGAAUGGGGAAACCCAGUGCAAUUCGUUGCACUAUCGUUAACUGAAUACAUAGGUUAACGAGGCGAACCGGGGGAACUGAAACAUCUAAGUACCCCGAGGAAAAGAAAUCAACCGAGAUUCCCCCAGUAGCGGCGAGCGAACGGGGAGCAGCCCAGAGUCUGAAUCAGCUUGUGUGUUAGUGGAACGGUCUGGAAAGUCCGACGGUACAGGGUGAUAGUCCCGUACACCAAAAUGCACAGGCUGUGAACUCGAAGAGUAGGGCGGGACACGUGGUAUCCUGUCUGAAUAUGGGGGGACCAUCCUCCAAGGCUAAAUACUCCUGACUGACCGAUAGUGAACCAGUACCGUGAGGGAAAGGCGAAAAGAACCCCGGCGAGGGGAGUGAAAAAGAACCUGAAACCGUGUACGUACAAGCAGUGGGAGCACCUUCGGGUGUGACUGCGUACCUUUUGUAUAAUGGGUCAGCGACUUAUAUUCUGUAGCAAGGUUAACCGUAUAGGGGAGCCGCAGGGAAACCGAGUCUUAACUGGGCGUUAAGUUGCAGGGUAUAGACCCGAAACCCGGUGAUCUAGCCAUGGGCAGGUUGAAGGUUGGGUAACACUAACUGGAGGACCGAACCGACUAAUGUUGAAAAAUUAGCGGAUGACUUGUGGCUGGGGGUGAAAGGCCAAUCAAACCGGGAGAUAGCUGGUUCUCCCCGAAAGCUAUUUAGGUAGCGCCUCGUGAACUCAUCUUCGGGGGUAGAGCACUGUUUCGGCUAGGGGGUCAUCCCGACUUACCAACCCGAUGCAAACUACGAAUACCGAAGAAUGUUAUCACGGGAGACACACGGCGGGUGCUAACGUCCGUCGUGAAGAGGGAAACAACCCAGACCGCCAGCUAAGGUCCCAAAGUCACAGUUAAGUGGGAAACGAUGUGGGAAGGCACAGACAGCCAGGAUGUUGGCUUAGAAGCAGCCAUCAUUUAAAGAAAGCGUAAUAGCUCACUGGUCGAGUCGGCCUGCGCGGAAGAUGUAACGGGGCUAAACUGUGCACCGAAGCUGCGGCAGCGACACUAUGUGUUGUUGGGUAGGGGAGCGUUCUGUAAGCCUGCGAAGGUGGCCUGUGAGGGUUGCUGGAGGUAUCAGAAGUGCGAAUGCUGACAUAAGUAACGAUAAUGCGGGUGAAAAGCCCGCACGCCGGAAGACCAAGGGUUCCUGUCCAACGUUAAUCGGGGCAGGGUGAGUCGACCCCUAAGGCGAGGCCGAAAGGCGUAGUCGAUGGGAAACAGGUUAAUAUUCCUGUACUUGGUGUUACUGCGAAGGGGGGACGGAGAAGGCUAUGUUAGCCGGGCGACGGUUGUCCCGGUUUAAGCAUGUAGGCGGAGGUUCCAGGUAAAUCCGGUACCUUUUAACGCUGAGGUGUGAUGACGAGGCACUACGGUGCUGAAGUAACAAAUGCCCUGCUUCCAGGAAAAGCCUCUAAGCAUCAGGUAACAUUGAAUCGUACCCCAAACCGACACAGGUGGUCAGGUAGAGAAUACCAAGGCGCUUGAGAGAACUCGGGUGAAGGAACUAGGCAAAAUGGUGCCGUAACUUCGGGAGAAGGCACGCUGAUAUGUAGGUGAAGCCCCUGCGGGUGGAGCUGAAAUCAGUCGAAGAUACCAGCUGGCUGCAACUGUUUAUUAAAAACACAGCACUGUGCAAACACGAAAGUGGACGUAUACGGUGUGACGCCUGCCCGGUGCCGGAAGGUUAAUUGAUGGGGUUAUCCGUAAGGAGAAGCUCUUGAUCGAAGCCCCGGUAAACGGCGGCCGUAACUAUAACGGUCCUAAGGUAGCGAAAUUCCUUGUCGGGUAAGUUCCGACCUGCACGAAUGGCGUAAUGAUGGCCAGGCUGUCUCCACCCGAGACUCAGUGAAAUUGAACUCGCUGUGAAGAUGCAGUGUACCCGCGGCAAGACGGAAAGACCCCGUGAACCUUUACUAUAGCUUGACACUGAACAUUGAGCCUUGAUGUGUAGGAUAGGUGGGAGGCUUUGAAGCGUGGACGCCAGUCUGCGUGGAGCCAACCUUGAAAUACCACCCUUUAAUGUUUGAUGUUCUAACGUUGGCCCCUUAUCGGGGUUGCGGACAGUGUCUGGUGGGUAGUUUGACUGGGGCGGUCUCCUCCCAAAGAGUAACGGAGGAGCACGAAGGUUAGCUAAUCCUGGUCGGACAUCAGGAGGUUAGUGCAAUGGCAUAAGCUAGCUUGACUGCGAGCGUGACGGCGCGAGCAGGUGCGAAAGCAGGUCAUAGUGAUCCGGUGGUUCUGAAUGGAAGGGCCAUCGCUCAACGGAUAAAAGGUACUCCGGGGAUAACAGGCUGAUACCGCCCAAGAGUUCAUAUCGACGGCGGUGUUUGGCACCUCGAUGUCGGCUCAUCACAUCCUGGGGCUGAAGUAGGUCCCAAGGGUAUGGCUGUUCGCCAUUUAAAGUGGUACGCGAGCUGGGUUUAGAACGUCGUGAGACAGUUCGGUCCCUAUCUGCCGUGGGCGCUGGAGAAUUGAGGGGGGCUGCUCCUAGUACGAGAGGACCGGAGUGGACGCAUCACUGGUGUUCGGGUUGUCAUGCCAAUGGCAUUGCCCGGUAGCUAAAUGCGGAAGAGAUAAGUGCUGAAAGCAUCUAAGCACGAAACUUGCCCCGAGAUGAGUUCUCCCUGAGACUUUAAGUCUCCUGAAGGAACGUUAAAGACGAUGACGUUGAUAGGUCGGGUGUGUAAGCGUAGCGAUACGUUGAGCUAACCGAUACUAAUGAACCGUGAGGCUUAACCUUACAACGCCGAAGGUGUUU
rnacentral:rRNA from 1 species